CUUUAUUCACAUUACCGAUCGGGUCUCAGAUGAACUCCUGUUCCAAAUGAUCUGAGAGACAUAUACUUGUGGCUUGGGACUUUUGUUAACUGCAUAUCUCCUCCCAUUAAUAGCUACACCCACAUACACCUUUAACCAAUCAAUGAGCAGAAUAUAGACUUGUACAUCUAGUCAAACCACAUGGCUCAUCCAAGACAAAGGAAAUAAGUGCAAUUUCAGUUCCU